rnacentral:misc_RNA from 1 species
GAUGAAUAACGCAGCGAAAUGCGAUACUUGGUGUGAAUUGCAGAAUCCCGUGAACCAUCGAGUCUUUGAACGCAAGUUGCGCCCGAAGCCAUUAGGCCGAGGGCACGCCUGCCUGGGCGUCACACGUCGUUGCCCCCCCCAUCUACUCCUUCGGGAUUGCGGGGGGCGGAUGAUGGCCUCCCGUGUGCCUCGCCGCGCGGUUGGCAUAAAUACCAAGUCCUCGGCGACGCACGCCACGACAAUCGGUGGUUGCGAAACCUCGGUUGCCCGUCGUGUGCGGUCGUCGCGCAUCGAGGGCUCGAAAAAAUUGCCGGGUUCCGGCUCGGCUUUCAACGCGACCCCAGGUCAGGCGGGGUUACCCGCUGAAUUUAAGCAUAUCAAUAAGCGGAGGA